GCUGGCGGCGUGCCUAAUACAUGCAAGUCGAGCGAACAGACGAGGAGCUUGCUCCUCUGACGUUAGCGGCGGACGGGUGAGUAACACGUGGAUAACCUACCUAUAAGACUGGGAUAACUUCGGGAAACCGGAGCUAAUACCGGAUAAUAUAUUGAACCGCAUGGUUCAAUAGUGAAAGACGGUUUUGCUGUCACUUAUAGAUGGAUCCGCGCCGCAUUAGCUAGUUGGUAAGGUAACGGCUUACCAAGGCAACGAUGCGUAGCCGACCUGAGAGGGUGAUCGGCCACACUGGAACUGAGACACGGUCCAGACUCCUACGGGAGGCAGCAGUAGGGAAUCUUCCGCAAUGGGCGAAAGCCUGACGGAGCAACGCCGCGUGAGUGAUGAAGGUCUUCGGAUCGUAAAACUCUGUUAUUAGGGAAGAACAAAUGUGUAAGUAACUAUGCACGUCUUGACGGUACCUAAUCAGAAAGCC
rnacentral:rRNA from 1 species